CUGGCGUCUAAGGCAGGGCCUACCUAAGCCUUACUGACGAGUCCCAAUAGGUAGGCCCGGGACGAAACGCAUG
rnacentral:hammerhead_ribozyme from 13 species